AGGGACAGCUCAGAACUCCCAUGUUUCCUCAAAAGGUUCCCUCCUGCUGCUCACCUGAGCUGCCUGUCCCAGCACACAGCCACCAUCACCAGCAGGUUCCCCAAGAUGGCCAUCAGGAUAACCGUCGAGAGAAACGUGAGCAGCACCACCUUCUCCACUGACCCGAAACCCUCCUCAGAACUGAAAGACACACACAAGCACAAAGAAUUGAAUGAAACUCUGGGACACAAGAAGGAAAAUUCGUCUUUUCAUCAUUGACCUUCAGAAAGGUUUCUUGAGAGACUAAACAUACAAAUGGACAAUGGCCAGACCAUGUGUAACAAUAAAACUCCGAUGGACAAUCUCUGGCAGCCAGCCCAGAACGAUCAGGACUUGUUCAAUGACUGCGAGCUAGCUUCCCCCUUUUUUAACCCUCUUACCUGCUUCCAACUCAAGACUAACAACAGAAUGCCAAAGACACUGCUCCCCAAAGCAAUUACGUAAGAUGCCUCACUGCUUGUUAGUGCACCUCCUGCUUCAAUGUGCCAACAACCUCCAAUCAGAAGAUAGCAGAAGCCUUCUUUUCCCCGCUUAUAAAGCUUUUUUACUCCCCUGCCUGUCUUUGAGACUUUGCUAAAUUCCAAGGAUGGUGGCUGAUCCUCUUGCUUU
rnacentral:lncRNA from 1 species